rnacentral:rRNA from 1 species
GAUGAACGCUGGCGGCGUGCCUAAUACAUGCAAGUCGAGCGAACAGACGAGGAGCUUGCUCCUCUGACGUUAGCGGCGGACGGGUGAGUAACACGUGGAUAACCUACCUAUAAGACUGGGAUAACUUCGGGGAACCGGAGCUAAUACCGGAUAAUAUAUUGAACCGCAUGGUUCAAUAGUGAAAGACGGUUUUGCUGUCACUUAUAGAUGGAUCCGCGCCGCAUUAGCUAGUUGGUAAGGUAACGGCUUACCAAGGCAACGAUGCGUAGCCGACCUGAGAGGGUGAUCGGCCACACUGGAACUGAGACACGGUCCAGACUCCUACGGGAGGCAGCAGUAGGGAAUCUUCCGCAAUGGGCGAAAGCCUGACGGAGCAACGCCGCGUGAGUGAUGAAGGUCUUCGGAUCGUAAAACUCUGUUAUUAGGGAAGAACAAAUGUGUAAGUAACUAUGCACGUCUUGACGGUACCUAACCAGAAAGCCACGGCUAACUACGUG